AACGAACGCUGGCGGCAGGCUUAACACAUGCAAGUCGAGCGCCCCGCAAGGGGAGCGGCAGACGGGUGAGUAACGCGUGGGAAUCUACCCAUCCCUACGGAAUAACGCAUGGAAACGUGUGCUAAUACCGUAUACGUCCUUCGGGAGAAAGAUUUAUCGGAGAUGGAUGAGCCCGCGUUGGAUUAGCUAGUUGGUAGGGUGAAGGCCUACCAAGGCGACGAUCCAUAGCUGGUCUGAGAGGAUGAUCAGCCACACUGGGACUGAGACACGGCCCAGACUCCUACGGGAGGCAGCAGUGGGGAAUAUUGGACAAUGGGCGCAAGCCUGAUCCAGCCAUGCCGCGUGAGUGAUGAAGGCCCUAGGGUUGUAAAGCUCUUUCACCGGUGAAGAUAAUGACGGUAACCGGAGAAGAAGCCCCGGCUAACUUCGUGCCAGCAGCCGCGGUAACAC
rnacentral:rRNA from 1 species